GGUGGUUCUCGGGUGACGCACUGCAGAAUCGGGCUCCCACCUCUCUGGUUCCAGGUGCAUCACCCAAGAACUGCA
rfam:Myotis davidii contig130027, whole genome shotgun sequence.